rnacentral:rRNA from 1 species
UACGUAGGGGGCUAGCGUUACCCGGAUUUACUGGGCGUAAAGGGUGCGUAGGCGGCCAUUUAAGUCAGCGGUGAAAUUUUGCAGCUUAACUGUAACAGUGCCGUUGAUACUGUUUGGCUAGGAUUUGGUUGUAGUGUGCGGAAUGUGUGGUGUAGCGGUGAAAUGCUUAGAUAUCACACAGAACACCGAUUGCGAAGGCAGCACACUAAGUCAUUAUUGACGCUGAGGCACGAAAGUGUGGGGAUCAAACAGGAUUAGAUA